GGGUUGUGAGGUUAAGCGAACAAGCGUACACGGUGGAUGCCCUGGCAGUCAGAGGCGAUGAAGGACGUGCUAAUCUGCGAAAAGCGCCGGUAAGGUGAUAUGAACCGUUAUAACCGGCGAUGUCCGAAUGGGGAAACCCGGUGCACUUCGGUGCAUCAUCGUUAGCUGAAUACAUAGGCUAACGAAGCGAACCGGGGGAACUGAAACAUCUAAGUACCCCGAGGAAAAGAAAUCAACCGAGAUUCCCCCAGUAGCGGCGAGCGAACGGGGAACAGCCCAGAGCCUGAAUCAGCUUGUGUGUCAGUGGAACGGUCUGGAAAGGCCGGCGAUACAGGGUGACAGCCCCGUACACGAAGGCACACAGGCUGUGAGCUCGAUGAGUAGGGCGGGACACGUGAUAUCCUGUCUGAAGAUGGGGGGACCAUCCUCCAAGGCUAAAUACUCCUGACUGACCGAUAGUGAACCAGUACCGUGAGGGAAAGGCGAAAAGAACCCCGGCGAGGGGAGUGAAACAGAACCUGAAACCGUGUACGUACAAGCAGUGGGAGCCUUCGUAAGAGGGUGACUGCGUACCUUUUGUAUAAUGGGUCAGCGACUUAUAUUCUGUAGCAAGGUUAACCGUAUAGGGGAGCCGAAGGGAAACCGAGUCUUAACCGGGCGUUAAGUUGCAGGGUAUAGACCCGAAACCCGGUGAUCUAGCCAUGGGCAGGUUGAAGGUUGGGUAACACUAACUGGAGGACCGAACCGACUAAUGUUGAAAAAUUAGCGGAUGACCUGUGGCUGGGGGUGAAAGGCCAAUCAAACCGGGAGAUAGCUGGUUCUCCCCGAAAGCUAUUUAGGUAGCGCCUCGUGAACUCAUCUCCGGGGGUAGAGCACUGUUUCGGCUAGGGGGCCAUCCCGGCUUACCAACCCGAUGCAAACUGCGAAUACCGGAGAAUGUUAUCACGGGAGACACACGGCGGGUGCUAACGUCCGUCGUGAAGAGGGAAACAACCCAGACCGCCAGCUAAGGUCCCAAAGUCAUGGUUAAGUGGGAAACGAUGUGGGAAGGCCCAGACAGCCAGGAUGUUGGCUUAGAAGCAGCCAUCAUUUAAAGAAAGCGUAAUAGCUCACUGGUCGAGUCGGCCUGCGCGGAAGAUGUAACGGGGCUAAACCAUGCACCGAAGCUGCGGCAGCGACGCUUAUGCNNNNNNNNNNGGUCGAGUCGGCCUGCGCGGAAGAUGUAACGGGGCUAAACCAUGCACCGAAGCUGCGGCAGCGACACUGUGUGUUGUUGGGUAGGGGAGCGUUCUGUAAGCCUGCGAAGGUGUGCUGUGAGGCAUGCUGGAGGUAUCAGAAGUGCGAAUGCUGACAUAAGUAACGAUAAAGCGGGUGAAAAGCCCGCUCGCCGGAAGACCAAGGGUUCCUGUCCAACGUUAAUCGGGGCAGGGUGAGUCGACCCCUAAGGCGAGGCCGAAAGGCGUAGUCGAUGGGAAACAGGUUAAUAUUCCUGUACUUGGUGUUACUGCGAAGGGGGGACGGAGAAGGCUAUGUCGGCCGGGCGACGGUUGUCCCGGUUUAAGCGUGUAGGCUGACUUUCCAGGCAAAUCCGGAGGGUUAAGGCUGAGGCGUGAUGACGAGGCACCACGGUGCUGAAGUGACAAAUGCCCUGCUUCCAGGAAAAGCCUCUAAGCAUCAGGUAACAUUAAAUCGUACCCCAAACCGACACAGGUGGUCAGGUAGAGAAUACCAAGGCGCUUGAGAGAACUCGGGUGAAGGAACUAGGCAAAAUGGUGCCGUAACUUCGGGAGAAGGCACGCUGACAUGUAGGUGAAGCCCCUGCGGGUGGAGCUGAAGUCAGUCGAAGAUACCAGCUGGCUGCAACUGUUUAUUAAAAACACAGCACUGUGCAAACACGAAAGUGGACGUAUACGGUGUGACGCCUGCCCGGUGCCGGAAGGUUAAUUGAUGGGGUUAUCGCAAGAGAAGCUCCUGAUCGAAGCCCCGGUAAACGGCGGCCGUAACUAUAACGGUCCUAAGGUAGCGAAAUUCCUUGUCGGGUAAGUUCCGACCUGCACGAAUGGCGUAAUGAUGGCCAGGCUGUCUCCACCCGAGACUCAGUGAAAUUGAACUCGCUGUGAAGAUGCAGUGUACCCGCGGCAAGACGGAAAGACCCCGUGAACCUUUACUACAGCUUGACACUGAACAUUGAGCCUUGAUGUGUAGGAUAGGUGGGAGGCUUUGAAGCGUGGACGCCAGUCUGCGUGGAGCCGACCUUGAAAUACCACCCUUUAAUGUUUGAUGUUCUAACCUGGCGCCGUGAUCCGGCGUGGGGACAGUGUCUGGUGGGUAGUUUGACUGGGGCGGUCUCCUCCCAAAGUGUAACGGAGGAGCACGAAGGUCAGCUAAUCCUGGUCGGACAUCAGGAGGUUAGUGCAAUGGCAUAAGCUGGCUUGACUGCGAGAGUGACGGCUCGAGCAGGUGCGAAAGCAGGUCAUAGUGAUCCGGUGGUUCUGUAUGGAAGGGCCAUCGCUCAACGGAUAAAAGGUACUCCGGGGAUAACAGGCUGAUACCGCCCAAGAGUUCAUAUCGACGGCGGUGUUUGGCACCUCGAUGUCGGCUCAUCACAUCCUGGGGCUGAAGUAGGUCCCAAGGGUAUGGCUGUUCGCCAUUUAAAGUGGUACGCGAGCUGGGUUUAGAACGUCGUGAGACAGUUCGGUCCCUAUCUGCCGUGGGCGCUGGAGAAUUGAGGGGGGCUGCUCCCAGUACGAGAGGACCGGAGUGGACGCAUCACUGGUGUUCGGGUUGUCAUGCCAAUGGCACUGCCCGGUAGCUAAAUGCGGAAGAGAUAAGUGCUGAAAGCAUCUAAGCACGAAACUUGCCCCGAGAUGAGUUCUCCCUGAGACUGUAAGUCUCCUGAAGGAACGUUGAAGACGACGACGUUGAUAGGCCGGGUGUGUAAGCGCAGCGAUGCGUUGAGCUAACCGGUACUAAUGAACCGUGAGGCUUAACCUUACAACGCCAAAGAAGU
rnacentral:rRNA from 1 species